rnacentral:rRNA from 1 species
UACGUAGGAGACAAACGUUAUCCGGAGUUACUGGGCGUAAAGGGCGUGCAGGUGGUCAUUUAAGUUCGGCGUGAAAGCUCCUGGCUAAACCGGGAGAGGUCGUCGGAGACUGGAUGGCUAGAGGGUGAUAGAGGCGGGUGGAAUUCCGGGUGUAGUGGUGAAAUGCGUAGAGAUCCGGAGGAACACCAGUGGCGAAGGCGACCCGCUGGGUCACGCCUGACACUGAGACGCGACAGCAUGGGGAGCGAACGGG